AGUGAACGCUGGCGGUAGGCCUAACACAUGCAAGUCGAACGGCAGCACAGGAGAGCUUGCUCUCUGGGUGGCGAGUGGCGGACGGGUGAGGAAUACAUCGGAAUCUACUUUUUCGUGGGGGAUAACGUAGGGAAACUUACGCUAAUACCGCAUACGACCUACGGGUGAAAGCAGGGGACCUUCGGGCCUUGCGCGAUUGAAUGAGCCGAGGUCGGAUUAGCUAGUUGGCGGGGUAAAGGCCCACCAAGGCGACGAUCCGUAGCUGGUCUGAGAGGAUGAUCAGCCACACUGGAACUGGGACACGGUACAGACUCCUACGGGAGGCAGCAGUGGGGAAUAUUGGACAAUGGGCGCAAGCCUGAUCCAGCCAUACCGCGUGGGUGAAGAAGGCCUUCGGGUUGUAAAGCCCUUUUGUUGGGAAAGAAAUCCAGCUGGUUAAUACCCGGUUGGGAUGACGGUACCCAAAGAAUAAGCACCGGCUAACUUCGUGCCAGCCGCCGCCGUAA
rnacentral:rRNA from 1 species